rnacentral:rRNA from 1 species
AGUAACACGUAUCCAACCCUGCCGUCUACUCUUGGACAGCCUUCUGAAAGGAAGAUUAAUACAAGAUGGCAUCAUGAGUCCGCAUGUUCACAUGAUUAAAGGUAUUCCGGUAGACGAUGGGGAUGCGUUCCAUUAGAUAGUAGGCGGGGUAACGGCCCACCUAGUCUUCGAUGGAUAGGGGUUCUGAGAGGAAGGUCCCCCACAUUGGAACUGAGACACGGUCCAAACUCCUACGGGAGGCAGCAUG